rnacentral:rRNA from 1 species
AUACGUAGGGGGCAAGCGUUAUCCGGAAUUACUGGGUGUAAAGGGAGCGCAGACGGCUAAGCAAGUCUGAUGUGAAAGUCAUGGGCUCAACCCAUGGAUUGCAGUGGAAACUGCGAAGCUGGAGUGUCGGAGGGGUAAGCGGAAUUCCUGGUGUAGCGGUGAAAUGCGUAGAUAUCAGGAGGAACACCGGUGGCGAAGGCGGCUUACUGGACGAUCACUGACGUUGAGGCUCGAAAGCGUGGGGAGCAAACAGGAUUAGAUACCCUGGUAGUCCACGCGGUAAACGAUGAAUACCAGGUGUCGGGGGGCGAAGCUCUUCGGUGCCGAAAGCAAACGCAGUAAGUAUUCCACCUGGGGAGUACGUUCGCAAGAAUGAAACUCAAAGGAAUUGACGGGG